CUUCUCCCACAAGUGCUGAAAGUCAGAAAUUUUGAGAGUGUCUGUUUUCCCGGAGUGGUCCUUAUCCACUGGCUGACUACUUGGGAAUCUGAAUACCAAGUUCCGUCACUGUAAGGCCAUGUGUAUUAAAGGAGACACAGAAGUGACCAAGAAGCCUCCUUCAAUCUUCCCAAAGACUCAAUCACCCUCUUGAAGAGGACAUUGGGACACAGAUAUGCACUGAGGAAAGGCCAUGUGAAACCACAGGGAGAAGACCGUCAUCUACAAAUAAGGAGAGUGACCUUAGAAGAAUCCUGCCCUGCCAACACCUUGAUCUCAGACCUCUCGCCUCCAGAACUACCAGAAAACCAACUUCUGUCAAGCCAUCCAGUCUGUGGGACUUUGUUAUGGAAGCUCUAGCAAAAUAAUACAUUCACUAACAGAGAUAUUACAGGAAUUAAUGGAUUAUUUUAAUAUUCAUAUGUUAAAUAUGUUAAUAUUGAUAAUUAACAUAAAUAUAAAUUGAUCCUACCAUACAGUCUCCAAAAUCUUCUCCAAAAGAGAGAGAGAGAGAAGGAAAAUAAUAUUUACCAAGCACUUACUAAGUUCCAGGCCCUUUGCAAGUCUCUAAAUUGAGUAAAUACAAUUGUCUUAUUUCAUUGUCAUAAAAGCGAUAUGAUGUGUUAACACACACACUGUUAAAAAUAAGCAAAUGGAAAAGUGAAAGGUGGCCUUCCUGAAGGUCACACAGCAGGAGUAUGGCAUUAACUCCCAGUCAGCACUACUUGAAUUUCAAUGCUUUUUCCACUACACUGCCCU
rnacentral:lncRNA from 1 species